rnacentral:rRNA from 1 species
GAUUUGACUUACAAGGUAUUGUAAUAAGGUUUUAAUUGAAUGCUAAAAGAAUGGAAUUACAGGGAAAAGUUUUUUUAAAUUUAAUAAUUGAAGUUAUUUUAAUUUGUGAAGAAACAAUUAUAUAAAUUAAAGACAAGAAGACCCUAAGAAUUUAAGAAUUUUUAUUAAUAUAUUAUAUGUGUAUAUAUAUAAAUAAAAUUCUUAGUUGGGGCAACUAAAAAAUAUAUUAAACUUUUUUUUUAAAAAAAAUGACCCAUUAUUAAUGAUAAUAUGAAAAAAAUACUCUAGGGAUAACAGCGUAAUAAUUUUUGAUAGAUCUUAUAGACAAAAUAGUUUGCGACCUCGAUGUUGGAUUAGGAUACUUUUUUAAUGAAGAUGUUAAAAAAAGAAGUUUGUUCAACUUUUAAAUUCCUACAUGAUCUGAGUUUAGACCGUGAAUAAAUGAGGA